AAAGGAAUCAACGAUAGUGAAGAACACGCUCACCAAUUGGGGCAACUUCUGCGCCUGCGCUCUUCCAACGUUACAUUAAACUGUAUUCCUUAUAAUUCUACCUCCGUUGCUCGAAAGUUUCAUUCACCUUCUUUCAGCUCUACACAGAAGUUUGUAAAAGUCGUGAAAAGUUAUGGAGUUUUGGUGACUCUUCGCAAGGAGAUGGGCGUUGAUAUUUCCGGCGCUUGCGGGCAACUCGUUACCGAACUGAAGGACGUGGAAGAUUUGAUAACUUCGCCGUAUUAU